CCUACGGGAGGCAGCAGUGAGGAAUAUUGGUCAAUGGACGAGAGUCUGAACCAGCCAAGCAGCGUGAAGGAUGACUGCCCUAUGGGUUGUAAACUUCUUUUAUAAAGGAAUAAAACGAGGCACGUGUGCCUCUUUGCAUGUACUUUACGAAUAAGGAUCGGCUAACUCCGUGCCAGCAGCCGCGGUAAUACGGAGGAUCCGAGCGUUAUCCGGAUUUAUUGGGUUUAAAGGGAGCGUAGAUGGGUUGUUAAGUCAGUUGUGAAAGUUUGCGGCUCAACCGUAAAAUUGCAAUUGAUACUGGCAGUCUUGAGUACAGUUGAGGUAGGCGGAAUUCGAGGUGUAGCGGUGAAAUGCUUAGAUAUCACGAAGAACCCCGAUUGCGAAGGCAGCUUACUAAACUGUGACUGACAUUGAUGCUCGAAAGUGUGGGUAUCAAACAGGAUUAGAUACCCUGGUAGUC
rnacentral:rRNA from 1 species